rnacentral:rRNA from 1 species
AGAGUUUGAUCCUGGCUCAGGAUGAACGCUAGCUACAGGCUUAACACAUGCAAGUCGAGGGGAAACGACAUCGAAAGCUUGCUUUUGAUGGGCGUCGACCGGCGCACGGGUGAGUAACGCGUAUCCAACCUGCCCACCACUUGGGGAUAACCUUGCGAAAGUAAGACUAAUACCCAAUGACGUCUCUAGAAGACAUCUGAAGGAGAUUAAAGAUUUAUCGGUGAUGGAUGGGGAUGCGUCUGAUUAGCUUGUUGGCGGGGUAACGCCACAAGGCGACGAUCAGUAGGGGUUCUGAAAGGAGGUCCCCCANAUUGGAACUGAGACACGGUCCAAACUCCUACGGGAGGCA